AAUAUUUGACAAUGGGGGCAACCCUGAUCCAGCCAUGCCGCGUGUGUGAAGAAGGACAUCGGGUUGUAAAGCACUUUUGGCAGGGAAAAAAAGUCUUUGGCUAAUACCUGGAGCUGCUGACGGUACCUGCAGAAUAAGCACCGGCUAACUACGUGCCAGCAGCCGCGGUAAUACGUAGGGUGCAAGCGUUAAUCGGAAUUACUGGGCGUAAAGCGUGCGCAAGCGGUUCGGCAAGAAGGAUGUGAAAUCCCAGGGCUUAACCUUGGAACUGCAUUCUUAACUGCCGGGCUAGAGUAUGUCAGAGGGGGGUAGAAUUCCGCGUGUAGCAGUGAAAUGCGUAGAGAUGCGGAGGAAUACCGAUGGCGAAGGCAGCCCCCUGGGAUAAUACUGACGCUCAUGCACGAAAGCGUGGGGAGCAAACAG
rnacentral:rRNA from 1 species